rnacentral:rRNA from 1 species
GCUCAGGACGAACGCUGGCGGCGUGCCUAAUACAUGCAAGUCGAACGCUUUUUCUUUCACCGGAGCUUGCUCCACCGAAAGAAAAAGAGUGGCGAACGGGUGAGUAACACGUGGGUAACCUGCCCAUCAGAAGGGGAUAACACUUGGAAACAGGUGCUAAUACCGUAUAACACUAUUUUCCGCAUGGAAGAAAGUUGAAAGGCGCUUUUGCGUCACUGAUGGAUGGACCCGCGGUGCAUUAGCUAGUUGGUGAGGUAACGGCUCACCAAGGCAACGAUGCAUAGCCGACCUGAGAGGGUGAUCGGCCACACUGGGACUGAGACACGGCCCAGACUCCUACGGGAGGCAGCAGUAGGGAAUCUUCGGCAAUGGACGAAAGUCUGACCGAGCAACGCCGCGUGAGUGAAGAAGGUUUUCGGAUCGUAAAACUCUGUUGUUAGAGAAGAACAAGGAUGAGAGUAAAACGUUCAUCCCUUGACGGUAUCUAACCAGAAAGCCACGGCUAACUACGUGCCAGCAGCCGCGGUAAUACGUAGGUGGCAAGCGUUGUCCGGAUUUAUUGGGCGUAAAGCGAGCGCAGGCGGUUUCUUAAGUCUGAUGUGAAAGCCCCCGGCUCAACCGGGGAGGGUCAUUGGAAACUGGGAGACUUGAGUGCAGAAGAGGAGAGUGGAAUUCCAUGUGUAGCGGUGAAAUGCGUAGAUAUAUGGAGGAACACCAGUGGCGAAGGCGGCUCUCUGGUCUGUAACUGACGCUGAGGCUCGAAAGCGUGGGGAGCGAACAGGAUUAGAUACCCUGGUAGUCCACGCCGUAAACGAUGAGUGCUAAGUGUUGGAGGGUUUCCGCCCUUCAGUGCUGCAGCAAACGCAUUAAGCACUCCGCCUGGG